GCAGUCGAGCGGUAGCACAGAGAGCUUGCUCUCGGGUGACGAGCGGCGGACGGGUGAGUAAUGUCUGGGAAACUGCCUGAUGGAGGGGGAUAACUACUGGAAACGGUAGCUAAUACCGCAUAACGUCGCAAGACCAAAGAGGGGGACCUUCGGGCCUCUUGCCAUCAGAUGUGCCCAGAUGGGAUUAGCUAGUAGGUGGGGUAACGGCUCACCUAGGCGACGAUCCCUAGCUGGUCUGAGAGGAUGACCAGCCACACUGGAACUGAGACACGGUCCAGACUCCUACGGGAGGCAGCAGUGGGGAAUAUUGCACAAUGGGCGCAAGCCUGAUGCAGCCAUGCCGCGUGUAUGAAGAAGGCCUUCGGGUUGUAAAGUACUUUCAGCGGGGAGGAAGGCGAUAAGGUUAAUAACCUUGUCGAUUGACGUUACCCGCAGAAGAAGCACCGGCUAACUCCGUGCCAGCAGCCGCGGUAAUACGGAGGGUGCAAGCGUUAAUCGGAAUUACUGGGCGUAAAGCGCACGCAGGCGGUCUGUCAAGUCGGAUGUGAAAUCCCCGGGCUCAACCUGGGAACUGCAUUCGAAACUGGCAGGCUAGAGUCUUGUAGAGGGGGGUAGAAUUCCAGGUGUAGCGGUGAAAUGCGUAGAGAUCUGGAGGAAUACCGGUGGCGAAGGCGGCCCCCUGGACAAAGACUGACGCUCAGGUGCGAAAGCGUGGGGAGCAAACAGGAUUAGAUA
rnacentral:rRNA from 1 species